UACGUAGGAUGCGAGCGUUAUCCGGAUUUAUUGGGUUUAAAGGGUGCGCAGGCGGCACGGCAAGCCGGCGGUCAAAUCGCGGGGCUCAACCCCGCCCAGCCGUCGGAACUGCCGGGCUAGAGUGGGCGAGAAGUGCGCGGAAUGCGUGGUGUAGCGGUGAAAUGCGUAGAUAUAUGGAAGAACACCAGUGGCGAAAGCGGCUCUCUGGUCUGUAACUGACGCUGAGGUUCGAAAGCGUGGGUAGCAAACAGG
rnacentral:rRNA from 1 species